CGGGGUGUGGCGCAGCUUGGUAGCGCGCGUCGUUCGGGACGACGAGGUCGCAGGUUCAAAUCCUGUCACCCCGACCC
rnacentral:tRNA from 1 species